rnacentral:rRNA from 1 species
CCUACGGCGGCACUGCAGUGAGGAAUAUUGGUCAAUGGGCGGAAGCCUGAACCAGCCAAGUCGCGUGAGGGAUUAAGGCCCUGCGGGUCGUAAACCUCUUUUGCCGGGGAGCAGAGGUCCGGACGUGUCCUGGCCGGGUGAGUACCCGGAGAAAAAGCAUCGGCUAACUCCGUGCCAGCAGCCGCGGUAAUACGGAGGAUGCGAGCGUUAUACGGGUUUAUUGGGUUUAAAGGGUGCGUAGGCGGCGUGUUAAGUCAGCGGUGAAAGUCUGUGGCUCAACCAUAGAAUUGCCGUUGAAACUGGGAGGAUUGAGUAUGUUUGAGGCAGGCGGAAUGCGUGGUGUAGCGGUGAAAUGCGUAGAGAUCACGCAGAACCCCGAUUGCGAAGGCAGCCUGCCAAGCCAUGACUGACGCUGAUGCACGAAAGCGUGGGGAUCAAACAGGAUUAGAUACCCCAGUAGUC